GUACAACGAGUCGCAAGCUCGCGAGAGUAAGCUAAUCUCUUAAAGCCGUUCUCAGUUCGGACUGUAGGCUGCAACUCGCCUACACGAAGUCGGAAUCGCUAGUAAUCGCGGAUCAGCAUGCCGCGGUGAAUACGUUCCCGGGCCUUGUACACACCGCCCGUCACACCAUGGGAGUUUGGAACGCCCAAAGUCGGUGGCCUAACCUUUAUGGAGGGAGCCGCCUAAGGCGGGACAGAUGACUGGGGUGAAGUCGUAACAAGGUAAC
rnacentral:rRNA from 1 species